rnacentral:rRNA from 1 species
UACGGAGGGUGCGAGCGUUAAUCGGAAUAAUUGGGCGUAAAGGGCACGCAGGUGGGCUUUUAAGUGAGAUGUGAAAUCCCCGGGCUUAACCUGGGAAUAGCAUUUCAGACUGGGAGUCUAGAGUACUUUAGGGAGGGGUAGAAUUCCACGUGUAGCGGUGAAAUGCGUAGAGAUGGGGAGGAAUACCGAAGGCGAAGGCAGCCCCUUGGAAAUGUACUGACGCUCAUGUGCGAAAGCGUGGGGAGCAAACAGG